CGGUAAGGCCUUUCGGGGUACACGAGCGGCGAACGGGUGAGUAACACGUGGGUGAUCUGCCCUGCACUUCGGGAUAAGCCUGGGAAACUGGGUCUAAUACCGGAUAUGACCUCCUAUCGCAUGGUGGGUGGUGGAAAGAUUUAUCGGUGCAGGAUGGGCCCGCGGCCUAUCAGCUUGUUGGUGGGGUAAUGGCCUACCAAGGCGACGACGGGUAGCCGACCUGAGAGGGUGACCGGCCACACUGGGACUGAGACACGGCCCAGACUCCUACGGGAGGCAGCAGUGGGGAAUAUUGCACAAUGGGCGAAAGCCUGAUGCAGCGACGCCGCGUGAGGGAUGACGGCCUUCGGGUUGUAAACCUCUUUCAGCAGGGACGAAGCGCAAGUGACGGUACCUGCAGAAGAAGCACCGGCUAACUACGUGCCAGCAGCCGCGGUAAUACGUAGGGUGCAAGCGUUGUCCGGAAUUACUGGGCGUAAAGAGUUCGUAGGCGGUUUGUCGCGUCGUUUGUGAAAACCAGCAGCUCAACUGCUGGCUUGCAGGCNAUACGGGCAGNCUUUAAGAGUACUGCAGGGGAGANUGGAAUUCCUGGUGUAGCGGUGAAAUGCGCAGAUAUNAGGAGGAANACCGGUGGCGAAGGCGGGUCUCUGUGGCAGUAACUGACGCUGANGAACGAAAGCGUGGGNAGCGAACAGGAUNAGAUACCCUGGUAGUCNNCGCCGUAANCGGNGGGCANCUAGGUGUGGGUUCCUUCCACGGAAUCCGUGCCGUAGCUNACGCAUNAAGCGACCCCGNCUGGGGAGNNCGGNNCGCAAGNNUAAAACUCAAAGGAAUUGANGGGGGCCCGCNCNANCGGNGGANCAUGUGGAUUAAUUCGANGCANCGCGAA
rnacentral:rRNA from 1 species